rnacentral:rRNA from 1 species
AGUGAACGCUGGCGGUAGGCCUAACACAUGCAAGUCGAACGGCAGCACAGUAAGAGCUUGCUCUUACGGGUGGCGAGUGGCGGACGGGUGAGGAAUACAUCGGAAUCUACUUUUUCGUGGGGGAUAACGUAGGGAAACUUACGCUAAUACCGCAUACGACCUACGGGUGAAAGCAGGGGAUCUUCGGACCUUGCGCGAUUGAAUGAGCCGAUGUCGGAUUAGUUAGUUGGCGGGGUAAAGGCCCACCAAGGCGACGAUCCGUAGCUGGUCUGAGAGGAUGAUCGGCCACACUGGAACAGAGACACGGUCCAGACUCCUACGGGAGGCAGCAGUGGGGAAUAUUGGACAAUGGGCGCAAGCCUGAUCCAGCCAUACCGCGUGGGUGAAGAAGGCCUUCGGGUUGUAAAGCCCUUUUGUUGGGAAAGAAAAGCAGCAGGUUAAUACCCCGCUGUUCUGACGGUACCCAAAGAAUAAGCACCGGCUAACUUCGUG